rnacentral:tRNA from 1 species
GAUGUUAAGACGGCCGCUACACGCGCCCGAAGACA